AACGCACAUUGCGCCCAUUAGUAUUCUAGUGGGCAUGCCUGUUCGAGCGUCAUUAAUUCCACUUAAGCCUAGCUUAGUGUUGGGAGACUGCUUUAGCGGUAGCUACUAUGUAGUUGCCCUGCAGCUCCUUAAAGACAGCGGCGGAGUCGUGUUGUCCUCUGAGCUUAGUAAUUCAUUCUAGCUUUCGAGUAUACCACUUCACCUGCCGUUAAACCACCCAAUUUUUAAUGGUUGACCUCGGAUCAGGUAGGAAUACCCGCUGAACUUAA
rnacentral:misc_RNA from 1 species